GUAAGUGAACCUGCGGAAGGAUCAUUG
rnacentral:rRNA from 1 species